UACUGUUUCAGGUGAUCAGUAGUGUGUGAGUUCUCACAUGGCUUGUUCUGAGAACAUGUUUUUUCUCAUUGUCCUCUUUAUAUCAGGUGUUUUGGCCUGUUUUGGUGAACGACAUUUGAUCGCCACAAUGCCAGAUAGACUGGAUGUACUGACGGGCUCCUGUAUGCAAAUCCAAUGUUCAUUUGAUAUUCCUGACCCACAUAAUACAUUUAACAGCACAAUACUAACCUCUGGAGUGUGGAUUAAAGAAUCCCCAUACUUUGGUGAGCGUCCGGACAAUGUGAUAUUUAACAGUACUUAGACGGUCAACAGAUAUCAAGGGAAGAUAACUGGAAACAUGUCCCAGAAGAACUGCACCACAGUCUUCUUCAAUGUAAUCACCAGAGAGUAAUAUGAUACGGCAUGUGUCAAAAUUGAUUGAUUGCUGACCUUAUGACCUGAUGACAUGUACAGAAUAUGUGCCCCCGCCCCGCCCCCCCUGUUCGUGUGGUCAUGUGUUAGAGGGUGUUUGAACUUUUGGGGCCCAUGCCCCCCCCCUCCACCCCCCCCAGUUUUAUCUCCCUUAUGGUUGUUAUCUAUGAAGCAGGAAUGUCUGGGGCUAUAGAUAGCGCUGGGGCCUCAGCAUUAUAAAUGUCCAGAACAAGCCAUUUUUAAGACCUGAAUAUUAAGCAUCUAAAAAUAUGUCUACAAGGGGAAUUCUCGGAGUGCUCUGUAGCUCAUGUCACGAACCCAACGCCAAAAGCUUGGAGGAUAUUUUGGUAGAGGUUCCCGAAUGUUUUAACGGAUUUCUGUGUACAAGCGAGGGCCAUAUUUCGUACAUAUUCAACCCGGAGGAAUCUACGGUUAAGAUAUUCACAGACAGCGUGUCUCAACCCUUUUAUCGUGCAGAACCCGAGCCUUUUUCUCUAGCGCUAAGGAUGCGAGAAUGGCUUAAAAUAAGGCUAGCUUUGUGUCAAAUGGAACGUGCCCUGAGUGCUUCAAGGCUGCCAGGAUAUGCGUUGGAAGAACAAGUCUGUGGACGUCAGGAUCUAAUGGCCCUGAGAGUCACAUCCAUGGGUUAUACCCCGGACUCCAGAGUGACAAUUUUAGCAUGUGAACAAUUUGACAGGUCAAAUGCUACGAAAACGGUCAGUCCAUAUGUAUCCUCCAAAGCAUGCAAGGAUGUAAAUUUUUUUCAAAUAAUGUUCAGUUUUAAAUGGCGCGAUUACCACAUUUUCCGAAUCCUGAUGAAUAAGCUGGACAGUCUUUUCGAAAAUCGUGAACAAUUACGGCGAUGGCCUAGGUUAUCGUUGAGACAUACCCCGGAACAACAUAGGUUAUCGUUGAGACAUACACCGGAACAACAACAAGUUCGAAGGCGGAUCUUUCCCUGGCAGGAAAGUGGACAGAGCUUCGACGGAGCGCGGAAAAGACUUUGUGAUGGGGAAUUGGAAACGGAUAAUGUUCAGGGCUAACAGGACCCCAUAUAUCUGAUCCCCGACAUUUACGCAGCUUUUACGCGAUUUACCUGAUCUGGAACAUGAUGGGGGUUCGCAGGAGCAAAAGUCUGGCAGACAAUCACCAACGGCCUUUUUUCGUUCCGACAUACAGCCCUUUAUGAUAAAGGAUGCGUUAUGGACAGCUGACACGCAGGACUUUGAUGCAAUUCUACCGUUCACUGUGGCCCAAGUACACUGCUCAGAAUCAAGCCCACCCGAAAACUACUGUUGGGCCGGGAACUUGCUGCUUCACGAGCCGGCGCUCCAGGGACAAGACUGCCCGGAGACAGACCCAGCAGAAUCUGGAACGCUAGAGGGAAAAAGUCACACACCCCCGGUUUCGGCGAUUCGUCACAACAAGCGCCAAAAAAGCAGAGACUCCGCACCGGCGAAAAACGGCACAGACGACCACAUAAAUCUAGAGCUGGGGGAUUCCGGCGCCCCGAGCAUUCCGAAUGAAACACCCAAGAGACCUGUUUUUAAUGACAUGUCAGAUGUUGAUGACCAGCUAUUCUGUGAUGCGGCCAACCUUAUAGACCCAGUCAAUUCUACGGCCUCAAUACCUGCAGCCGAACAAGAAAGGUUUUUCACAUUAUUUUCCAGGGCUUUGAAAUCGAGGAAUGUUUUGCUAUACAAACGACUGGGGGAUUUAAUUGAGAGACAGUACAGAGACGAUAUGUUAUUCUGGCAUAGAACAAUUCCACGCAUGUUAAACAGCAACCCCAUUAAAAAACGCAAAUACAGACGCUAAAAUCAUACAUGUAACACCAACCAUUACAGAAAGAAAAAAACGAACACUCUUAAUUAUCCAAAAAUGGCAGAACUAACGCAACACGGGGAGACAGUUGAAAGCCUCUUAUCCCAGAUUCCAGACGAACUCCUAGAAGUUAUAAGACGUAUGAACGAUUCAGGAACGUUAGAUGAAAGCAUAUUAACACAGAUUCCAGCCGAACUCUUAGAAAUGAUUAAUCGUAUGAACCAGUCAGGGGGGGUUGAGGAAAACAUGUUAUCCCAGAUUCCCGAAGCCCUCAUAACCUUAAUUAAUCGUAUGAACGCGAGUCAGACAAUUUCGGCCCCGACAACCCCGACAGCGAUAUGACAACCCGUAACGCCUAGGUCCGUAGAGUCUGAAACGCCACAAGAUGUUUUUGGGGAAUUGGACAAUUAUCUAAUAAAUCUGGCUGCAGAUGUUCAUGAUAGACGUGUCAGGGUUGUGUACAGGAAUAAAUUCAACAAUACAGAGAUUCGACAAUUUUUCAAUUUCCUAUGUGUGAAUCAGAAUCUUGACUAUGCUGUAUUUUACAUGAUGAUAAUGGACACUCUGAAUGACCUGUUAGAAACAGCAAGAGAUUAUGGCGAACCUCGUGAUGUCUUACAGUUGGAAAUAUGUGGAGAUAGCCUGCAUAAUUCAGUAUCUCUUAUUUUACCCAAUGGCGAAGCAGAUCUUGAACAAUUUACAGCGCUGGUAGAACGCCUUGUUCAGUCAAAUUUAGCCAUCAUAGCCGAUCGAACCCUAGAGCUUGUAGUGCAAAUAAUACGUCAACCACAGGGGGGCGGUGGGCAGAGAAGGAAGCUUGAUAGCCUAAUGCAGUCAGAAAUCAUAAGCAAUAAAAGGGCCUACCUCAUAAACGUUCACAAUCCCGAUAAUAAGCUAUGUUUUGCAAUAGGCCUAGCGCAUUUACUUAACCCCGGAUGUACUGAUCUGACGGCAUUGCAAAAGGCUAGAGAGAUCCAAACGGCGGUGGGUCUCGGGAUCCAUGAAGGCGUGGCAUUCUCAGACAUUGUCAAAUUUGAAAACCUUCUGAAUAUCAAGAUUGUGGUUUUGUACCACAGUAGAGCUAAUGCAGCUCUCUUGAAGUUCCAAAACACCCCCAACCGCACCCCCAGAUUCUGUACUUUUAUGUGCAAAACGAACAUUACUAUGCCGUUACAAACGUCACGGCGUUCCUAGGGGCAACCUAUGUGUGUAGAUCCUGCCAUACCGGCUACAGCCGAAAGGGGGGGCACUCGUGCCGUUAUAACUGUUCUGUAUGUCAGGAUGCCGAGUGCCCUAUGCAGACCCUAAACUUGACACCAUGUGAGGAUUGCCAUCGCACAUGUCGUUCGACCUACUGUUACGAUAAACACAAAAUUGAAACAUGGCACCCUAAGGCCUGUAAAUCUGUAAGCAUUUGUGCCAUUAACAAGAAAUGCCCAAAAUGUCAUUGCAAUUACAGCCUUAAAAUAGAUAGCCCUAAACCACAUGUUUGUGGAAUCCUACAGUGUCCAAUCUGUAAAGGGGGUAUGAAAAGCAGAAAUGCUGAAGUGGUUCAAGAAGUGCCACACGAGUGUUAUAUUCAGCCCUUGGCUGAAGAUGAACCUUCAGAGAAAUAUGUGUUCUAUGAUUUUGAGACAAAUCAACAA